rnacentral:lncRNA from 1 species
CGGCAUCCUCCGUCUGCUCACUGCAGUCCGCCCAGCGGCUUCGUCUGAUGACGCGUUUUAGGUGCCUUGGGCGGAAAGCGCCUGCAGUGGAGGAAGGCAAAGUUCGCUCCCAGUACCCGCCCCCUGCGCUGGGUCCUCCCGAAGUAGGAAACGGUGAAAGAGAGGGUCCUGUGCUGUUCUGCAGGGAAGCGUCGCUUCCGUUCAGCUGUCCCUACACCAUGGACUCAGUACCUGCAACUGUGCCUUCUGUCACUGCUUCCCCGGGGGACCCGGAGCUCCUGGGACCCCUGUCGGUGCUGUACGCAGCCCUCAUAGCCAAGCUACUGGAGGUGACGGUCCCAUUCCCAGGGAGGGACCCCAGCUCUGGCCGGCGGGUGGCUGAGUUCUGGCGGAGUGGGUGCACUGACUGUCGCGGCGACGGAGAAAUGGAGUGUGUAGGCCCAAGGCAGGCAGGAUGUGACUGUAUUGUUAAGCGAGGCCGUUGAGAGUGUACUUGAGCUUUCCCCACUUGCACUUUUUUUUUUGACGGAAUAGAGGUGACAACCUCAUGUUAUGUUCCGAAAUGCAGCCAGCAAUCGAAACAGCUAACGUUACUACAGGUCUUUUCCCUACGGAGACUGCUGGGGAAUUGGGCCCAAAUGACAGUUAUCUCGUAUUACGUGUAGAGGGCGGUGAAAACAGGGAAGAGUAGGCAGGUGUUUAAUGCACUGCCUUUGAGCAACCAUUUAAAAUUAGGCUUUGAAUUUUAUAGAAGGAUGUUAAAUUCAGAGAAGUUUAUCUAAGACAGUUUUCAAGAGUUGUCUGAAAUUACAUGUCACUUAUCUGUUUAUAUAAGAGUGGAAUGGAAGUAAGAUUUAAAAUCUUAUACGUAUGUCAUCAUCAUCAUUGUUUUUAUUUGUUGCCAUAAAAUUAAUUAGUUCUUUCAUAUAUAUGUUUUUGUCUUAAAUGAAUUUUUUAAAUUAUAAAAACCAGGUUAUCUAAGAGAAAAGAAUGAUCCAGAGGGAUUCUAGCCAGGUGUUAGACAAUGUGAUGAUAUAGGGCCUGUUACAAACUGGAAAUGUAUGCUCAAUUUAAAGUAUUUAGAUUCGGGCUGGGGUUGUGGUUCAGUGGUAGAGCACUUGCUUAGCAUGCAUGAGGCACAGGGUUAGGGUUAGGGUUAGGGUUAGGGGUUCAAUCCUCAGCACCAUAUAAAAACAAAAUAAUGUGUCCACCUAAAACUAAAGAUACAUAAAUAAAUAUUUUUUAAAAAGUAUUUAGAUUCAUUAUACUUGAAAACACUGCAAGUGAACAAAAAAUAUGAGACUGCCAGUAUCCUCUCUCUUGAAGAAGCUAUUGGAAAAUAUUGAGGAGGUGGAUUUCUGAUGAGGAGGUUGGUUUAGAAUUGCCAUGAUUCUUUGUGACUGUUUUGUUAUAAAUUUAAGGUUUCCCAUUUCUUCUAAUUUGUCUGUUUCAGCUGUUUACUACAUUGCCUGAUGAUACUCAACCUGGGCCUGAUUUUUAUGGACUACCAUGGAAGCCUGUAGUUUUCACUGUUUUGUUUGGAUUUGUAUCCUUUGUCGUUUUCUUUUGGAAAACUAUUCUUGUU